rnacentral:piRNA from 1 species
GAAGGAAAAGCAUUGUUUGU